GAUCAUGGCUCAGGAUGAACGCUAGCUACAGGCUUAACACAUGCAAGUCGAGGGGCAGCAUGGUCUUAGCUUGCUAAGGCUGAUGGCGACCGGCGCACGGGUGAGUAACACGUAUCCAACCUGCCGUCUACUCUUGGCCAGCCUUCUGAAAGGAAGAUUAAUCCAGGAUGGUAUCAUGAGUUCACAUGUCCGCAUGUAAUUUAAAGGUUAUUUUCCGGUAGACGAGUGGG
rnacentral:rRNA from 1 species